UACGAAGGUGGCAAGCGUUGUUCGGAUUCACUGGGCGUACAGGGAGCGUAGGCGGUUAGGUAAGCCCUCCGUGAAAUCUCCGGGCCUAACCCGGAAAGUGCAGAGGGGACUGCUUGGCUAGAGGAUGGGAGAGGAGCGCGGAAUUCCCGGUGUAGCGGUGAAAUGCGUAGAGAUCGGGAGGAAGGCCGGUGGCGAAGGCGGCGCUCUGGAACAUUUCUGACGCUGAGGCUCGAAAGCGUGGGGAGCAAACAGG
rnacentral:rRNA from 1 species